UUUGAGCAUUAGGGUCAAAGAGAUGAAUUAUAUGAUAAGCAUACGUCAGUAGGUUCUAGGAUAUUGCUUUGCAAUACUUCGACCUAUCUGGUUGUUGGGUAACCAUUACUAGAUGGUUACAUCGAUUGGUAUAGAAAAUUAUUCCUAUACUACCGAUUUAGGUUCGAACCUAUGGGGUCACAUGCAUUAGAAGAUUUUGUC
rnacentral:lncRNA from 1 species